AGGGGAGCAGUGGGUUUCACAGUGAGUGCGAGCAGGAGCUUCAGUUUGGAGCUCAUCUUGAAAGCUCUCAUCUUGAGAGCUCUACACCUGCCAGAAAGCCAGACCAGGAUGAGUUUAGUUCCCAGGCCGCUGUUGCAGAGCCCAGCGGGGCCAGGUCUGCCUAGCCUAGGAAAUAGGAAGCCUGAAGAUGGAUGCCAGGUCCCUAAGCUGGAAUCCAACACCCUGAGGCUCAGCUACCAUGCUGGGCUCAAAGCUUAAGGCUGUCAGAUACUCAGUGGGCAGCUGAUCAGAGCAAUGCUCUCUGCCCCUACCCUUUCCUAGAAGCUCAUCUGUCUAGUGAGCAAAAGUGAGGAAGGUUCUGAAGGAAAAUCCAAGAGGCAGGCUAGUGAUAGAACAUUGGACUAGCUCCCACUGUGGCUGACACCAUGGCCUGCAGCUGUUCCAGAGGCAUACUGUACUCAAUGUCUACUAGAGGAUCCGUAGGAUUCUCAACACAAAACCAGGCCACAAUUCCAGAAAGCAGCAUCCAGGGGUUGUAUCCAUCAGAAGACUGGAUGGGGAGGCCAUCUCUGUGCUUAACCUACCCAAUGACCCACAUCCUCAGAUGCAGGUACACAUGUAGCCCAGCAUUACCUGCUAAGAUGAAUUGCAGCUUAGAGGCAUCAGGUAUGGCAAUGCGGUCGAUGUACUCAGGAUCCAGGUACUUGAUCAUAUCUUCAACUAGAAAAGUAGCGAGGUGGAAAAUGGAAUAGGGUUGGGGAGUAGAGCUGUCUUAUGUAGGAUGUUUGUCAGGUGGUCAGCCUUGAGGAGAGCCUUCAAUGAAGAGCUGAUACCCAACAGUGCCACAUGAGAAGGGCUCCACCAGGCUCCCUAUCCCCACUUCUCUAUCUCCCCACUCUCUUCUCUUGAGGUCUCUUCUGACCUCAAGCUUCAGAGCUGAAAACACAAUUGCCACCAACACUCUGGGCCCUCAGCAUUCUCACUGACCUAUCCUCACCAAGGCCUCUUUUCUCCUAGAUGCCACCAAGACAAGUCAGAGCUUUGUCUAAUUUCUAGUUACUAAGCAGGUUACUAGCUCUGACAUAACCAGGCUCUCAGUGUCUAAUUUGUUUCCUGCCUCUUAACCUUGCCUGGGAAAUCCCAAACCCUGUUUACCCUCCUUCAGCAAGAGAAGCUUUCAGGCAGAGCACUUAUUUCAUAACUAAGGACACAGUCAUGGGCUUGAGGUUUAUCCACAAGGUAGAAAAGCACACCUCAAUUUACCAAUUAAAUUGGGUGCAGGUAAGUGUCCCCGUAAUCUUUCUAUCCCCAAAGGGCUUUUCCAGUGACCUAUUGAACUGAAGGGGCAGGGCCAGGUCCCAGGAAGCCUAGGGAUGGGAUGUUGGGCAGGUAGGCAUAUCAUGGAAGCACUUACUCUUUUUGUACAGAAUCUUCACCCUUUCCCUCUUGCUGGCAAUGUUCCCCAAAGCCACCUGCACCUUGACCAGGCUGUCAGCCACCUGUAAGGGAAGUGGCAGUUAAUUGCAAGAUAUACUACCUGGCUCAAGGCUUGGAAGAGGUAAAGAACCCUUUUUCUCCCAGAUUCUCUAGGUUGGCUUCCCUUCUCUAAUACUAAAGGAAAUGCAGCCCCACCUUCUAGGAAUCCUUAAAGUGGAGAGAGAGAGUCAUGUACUCCUUGGGGAGAUUCAAAUAUGGGGGAGAUAAUGAACUAUUUUAGAGUUUUUGGAAUAUAUUGUAUACACAAUAUAUUUUCUAGUUCCUAAGCCCUGGGUUUGGGCAUGAGAAAUGCAAGCAUUCUCAUUCAAGCCUUCAUGACCUCUAGACUGGCUGGCCUACAUCUAGUCCUAUCCCCUCCAAAAUAACUUUAGUGUGGGAGAUGUAAGAGUCCAAGACAAUUGGGAUCCCAAUGAUGGUGAAAUCACUGAAUUAGGGAAUACAGAAGAAAACUGGGUUAGGGGAGAGGAGGAGUACAGUUAAGAACCUAUGAAUUGAAUGUGAGGUGCCUAUUGGAUAUCCAAGUGGAAAAGAAUCCAGUAAACAACUGGACAUACAAGUCUUGUUCUCAGAACAGAAAUCUGCACCAGAGAUAUACAUUUGAGACACAUUGACAUGCAAAUAGUAAUUGACACUAUGAAGGCGAGUGAGCCUACCUAAAGUUUAGGGGUAGAAUGUAAGGAAUCCCAGUAUUAAAGGGUAAAAUGGAGGACACUAAGGAAGUGACUGCACUCACCCAGUCUUUAGGGCAGAGGGUGAGGAAUGCGAGUAGGGAGGCAAAUAAUUCUGAGAAGCAGCAGUGAGAGGUAGAAGGUAAACCAGGAGGGUGAGCAUCAAAGAUCCCAAAGGAAGAGAAUGUUGGGAAGUUAGUUCUGAAAUGGGAGCAGUCUGCUACUGGCAACUAAUUCCUCCUUUCGUGUACAAACAGACAUCAUUAUCUUGGAUGCACUUAGCUCCAGGAUAUGCCUGACACGUCAUCAGAAGUUCUUCAGUAAAAGGUCUUCCCACAGUGGAAAUGGGAGGAGAGGGCACCUGAGCUUCGUAGUUGUCAAAAUUCCACCACUAGUAUAAAGUAGUGCUAGUCCACAUCUGAAUACCUAGUACUCAUUCCUUCCUAAUCCUGGCUCUUUCAGACCUCACCUCUCAUCCUUUGGACCUUUCCUUAUGCACCUCUGCUCUGUCUCCUCAGGGGUCCCAUGGACCUCUUCCUGCACAAUUCAUUUGGCAAUUAAUUACGCAGGGCUCCAUGACGGGCCUUCCUAUCAUGGACUUCAGCUCUUAUUGAAACUCAUUAGUCAGCUUCUCGAGUGUGCCAGGUCUCCCCUACUAGCCCGCGAGGGCAAGGGCGGAACGGAGUCUUAGUCAGAGUAGGUACUGAGCCCACUCUCAGGCUUAACCACUUGCAGAGCCCCCUAUGAGAAUGGACCCCCGAGGGUCCAAUCGGCUCUGGGAGGUCCCUGACCUUUGUUAUUUCAAAGGCUGGGCUGUGGAGAACAGGACUGGAGCGGUUGCAUCCCGAAGGCCACGACAGUGGACCGCUAUUGCUCUGCUCCGGAAACGGACCAUCGGACCAGACUACUCACC